rnacentral:lncRNA from 1 species
AAGAGAAUCCCAUCAUGAGGAGAAGAACCAUCAACACGUAAGUGUUCAUGAUGUGGUUCAACUGGCCAUUAUCGACAAACUUGCAAGAAUCCGAUUGCACUUCAUCCUACCUCAUAGAUAGAGUGGUGUUAUAUUUUUCUUUUUAACUUUAUGAAUUGUAAUAAAUGAAUAUUUAAGUUUUAUUUUUAAUUUUAAUUUUAUUUUAAUGUAGAUCGUUUUAUUGAAUUUUUUGUUCUGCAGACUACCUCUAAAUGUGUGACAAUUUUUGAAGAAUUAAAGUUAUGUGAAAUAAUUUUAUUUUAUUUUAUUUUUGAGUGAGAGGAGGAAAUUAU